UUGUUAGGUGACUGCGUACCUUUUGUAUAAUGGGUCAGCGACUUAUAUUCAGUGGCGAGCUUAACCGAAUAGGGGAGGCGUAGCGAAAGCGAGUCUUAAUAGGGCGUUUAGUCGCUGGGUAUAGACCCGAAACCGGGCGAUCUAUCCAUGGGCAGGUUGAAGGUUAGGUAACACUGACUGGAGGACCGAACCGACUACCGUUGAAAAGUUAGCGGAUGACCUGUGGAUCGGAGUGAAAGGCUAAUCAAGCUCGGAGAUAGCUGGUUCUCCUCGAAAGCUAUUUAGGUAGCGCCUCAUGUAUCACUCCAGGGGGUAGAGCACUGUUUCGGCUAGGGGGUCAUCCCGACUUACCAAACCGAUGCAAACUCCGAAUACCUGGAAGUGCCGAGCAUGGGAGACACACGGCGGGUGCUAACGUCCGUCGUGAAAAGGGAAACAACCCAGACCGUCAGCUAAGGUCCCAAAGUCAUGGUUAAGUGGGAAACGAUGUGGGAAGGCUUAGACAGCUAGGAGGUUGGCUUAGAAGCAGCCACCCUUUAAAGAAAGCGUAAUAGCUCACUAGUCGAGUCGGCCUGCGCGGAAGAUGUAACGGGGCUCAAACCAUGCACCGAAGCUACGGGUGUCAUCUUUGAUGACGCGGUAGAGGAGCGUUCUGUAAGCCUGUGAAGGUGAGUUGAGAAGCUUGCUGGAGGUAUCAGAAGUGCGAAUGCUGACAUGAGUAACGACAAUGCGAGUGAAAAACUCGCACGCCGAAAGACCAAGGUUUCCUGCGCAACGUUAAUCGACGCAGGGUUAGUCGGUCCCUAAGGCGAGGCUGAAAAGCGUAGUCGAUGGAAAACAGGUUAAUAUUCCUGUACUUCCAGUUAUUGCGAUGGAGGGACGGAGAAGGUUAGGCCAGCCUGGCGUUGGUUGUCCAGGUUUAAGGUGGUAGGCUGAAAUCUUAGGCAAAUCCGGGAUUUCAAGGCCGAGAGCUGAUGACGAGUUGCCUUCAGGCGACGAAGUGGUUGAUACCAUGCUUCCAAGAAAAGCUCCUAAGCUUCAGAUAACUGGGAACCGUACCCCAAACCGACACAGGUGGUUAGGUAGAGAAUACCAAGGCGCUUGAGAGAACUCGGGUGAAGGAACUAGGCAAAAUGGCACCGUAACUUCGGGAGAAGGUGCGCCGGCGAGGGUGAAGGACUUGCUCCGUAAGCCCAUGCCGGUCGAAGAUACCAGGCCGCUGCGACUGUUUAUUAAAAACACAGCACUCUGCAAACACGAAAGUGGACGUAUAGGGUGUGACGCCUGCCCGGUGCCGGAAGGUUAAUUGAUGGGGUUAGCGCAAGCGAAGCUCUUGAUCGAAGCCCCGGUAAACGGCGGCCGUAACUAUAACGGUCCUAAGGUAGCGAAAUUCCUUGUCGGGUAAGUUCCGACCUGCACGAAUGGCGUAACGAUGGCGGCGCUGUCUCCACCCGAGACUCAGUGAAAUUGAAAUCGCUGUGAAGAUGCAGUGUAUCCGCGGCUAGACGGAAAGACCCCGUGAACCUUUACUAUAGCUUUGCACUGGACUUUGAAUUUGCUUGUGUAGGAUAGGUGGGAGGCUUUGAAGUGGGGACGCCAGUUCUCAUGGAGCCAUCCUUGAAAUACCACCCUGGCAACUUUGAGGUUCUAACUCAGGUCCGUUAUCCGGAUCGAGGACAGUGUAUGGUGGGUAGUUUGACUGGGGCGGUCUCCUCCCAAAGAGUAACGGAGGAGUACGAAGGUGCGCUCAGACCGGUCGGAAAUCGGUCGUAGAGUAUAAAGGCAAAAGCGCGCUUGACUGCGAGACAAACACGUCGAGCAGGUACGAAAGUAGGUCUUAGUGAUCCGGUGGUUCUGUAUGGAAGGGCCAUCGCUCAACGGAUAAAAGGUACUCCGGGGAUAACAGGCUGAUACCGCCCAAGAGUUCAUAUCGACGGCGGUGUUUGGCACCUCGAUGUCGGCUCAUCACAUCCUGGGGCUGAAGCCGGUCCCAAGGGUAUGGCUGUUCGCCAUUUAAAGUGGUACGCGAGCUGGGUUUAGAACGUCGUGAGACAGUUCGGUCCCUAUCUGCCGUGGACGUUUGAGAUUUGAGAGGGGCUGCUCCUAGUACGAGAGGACCGGAGUGGACGAACCUCUGGUGUUCCGGUUGUCACGCCAGUGGCAUUGCCGGGUAGCUAUGUUCGGAAGAGAUAACCGCUGAAAGCAUCUAAGCGGGAAACUUGCCUCAAGAUGAGAUCUCACUGGGAUCUUGAAUCCCCUGAAGGGCCGUCGAAGACUACGACGUUGAUAGGUUGGGUGUGUAAGCGCUGUGAGGCGUUGAGCUAACCAAUACUAAUUGCCCGUGAGGCUUGACCAU
rnacentral:rRNA from 2 species